rnacentral:rRNA from 1 species
ACGAUUAAAGCUCCCCUUCGGGGGGUGCAUAAAGAUGGCGCACGGGUUGAGUAACACGUAAGUAAUCUACCCUCGGGAUGGGGAAUAACGUCCGGAAACGGACGCUAAUACCGCAUAAUGCAGCGGCACCGCAAGGUGACAGUUGUUAAAGGAGCAAUCCGCCUGGGGAGGAGCUUGCGGCAGAUUAGCUUGUUGGUAAGGUAACGGCUUACCAAGGCUACGAUCUGUAUCCGGUCUAAGAGGACGGUCGGACACACUGACACUGAAUAACGGGUCAGACUCCUACGGGAGGCAGCAGUCGGGAAUUUUGGGCAAUGGGGGAAACCCUGACCCAGCAACGCCGCGUGAAGGAUGAAGUAUUUCGGUAUGUAAACUUCGAAAGAAUAGGAAGAAUUAAUGACGGUACUAUUUAUAAGGUCCGGCUAACUACGUGCCAGCAGCCGCGGUAAUACGUAGGGACCAAGCGUUGUUCGGAUUUACUGGGCGUAAAGGGCGCGUAGGCGGCGCGGUAAGUCACUUGUGAAAUCUCUGAGCUUAACUCAGAACGGCCAAGUGAUACUGCAGUGCUAGAGUGUGGAAGGGGCAAUCGGAAUUCUUGGUGUAGCGGUGAAAUGCGUAGAUAUCAAGAGGAACACCUGAGGUGAAGACGGGUUGCUGGGCCAACACUGACGCUGAGGCGCGAAAGCCAGGGGAGCAAACGGGAUUAGAUACCCCGGUAGUCCUGGCCCUAAACGAUGAAUACUUGGUGUCUGGAGUUUUAAUGCUCCGGGUGCCGUCGCUAACGUUUUUAGUAUUCCNCCUGGGGAGUACGCUCGCAAGAGUGAAACUCAAAGGAAUUG